rnacentral:misc_RNA from 1 species
AAAAUCAUAAGAGCUUGCGAAACUGUAAGUAUACCAAAUUUCGCAAUUCUAUCAAUCUGUUCAUUUUUUUUUUUUUAAUUUUCUGGAUCCUGAAUGAUUCACUUGCUCACAACUGGUGGAGCAACACAGUCAAUGCUUUGUGUUACCUCGAUUUGGGGAAAUUGAAGAGCUACCUUCUAACUGAAUUCAUGCAAUUAAAACCUUUUCUCUUGGGAAGUUAGGAGCUCUGAGAUUAUCUUUCCUCAAAUUUCCCCACUCCCUCUUCCUGUAACCUCCAGUUUCUCGGCAAACAAAUGGAACUUAGCGUUCCUUCAGUGUUUUGGUUUUUGCGAUCAUUUUGUUUAUGAAUUAGUAUUUUUCCUCAGAACUUUUUAGGCCAAACUAGUGAUAGUGGGAUAGAUUUUACCAGUAUUCACUCAUCUUUGCUAAUCUUUUCAUUUUAGUCAUUAUAUUUUAAUUUGUUUCAAUAAAAUCACUUAUCUUUUAUUUUUUGUUCAAUAUCAGUCACUAGCAACAGAAUCUGAUAGAAUCUCUGAUAAAACUCUGGUUUGUCUUACGCGGCUUUAAAUAUUCGGGCAAUUGAAGAGCUACCUUAUAACUGAAUUCAUGCAAUCG